rnacentral:snoRNA from 1 species
CCCCUCCCGAUGCUUACCACAGGCAGGACCUCUCUGUGCCGGUCUGUAUAGAAAGUGGAGGGAUAGUAACACCCUCGUCUACACCACAGGUGGGCUGCCGGGCUCGCACUGUCUUGUUACCGUGGGGACAGUC